GACGAACGCUGGCGGCGUGCUUAACACAUGCAAGUCGAACGGAAAGGCCCCUUUGGGGGUACUCGAGUGGCGAACGGGUGAGUAACACGUGGGUAACCUGCCCUUCACUUCGGGAUAACUUCAGGAAACUGGGGCUAAUACCGGAUAGGAAUCCUUGCUGCAUGGUGGGGGUUGGAGAGCUUCGGCGGUUUUGGAUGGACUCGCGGCUUAUCAGCUUGUUGGUGGGGUAGUGGCUUACCAAGGCUGUGACGGGUAGCCGGCCUGAGAGGGCGACCGGCCACAUUGGGACUGAGAUACGGCCCAGACUCCUACGGGAGGCAGCAGUGGGGAAUAUUGCACAAUGGGCGGAAGCCUGAUGCAGCAACGCCGCGUGGGGGAUGACGGCCUUCGGGUUGUAAACCGCUUUCAGCAGGGGCGAAGCUUGUGGUGACGGUACCUGCAGAAGAAGCACCGGCUAACUACGUG
rnacentral:rRNA from 1 species